GUUAGGUUCGCCCCAUCCUCAUCCCAUGUCCAUGGUCCAAGCCGAGCCGAGAAAGAUUACUAGAUAUGUAACUCUAAGAAAGCAGGAGCCAACAAAGCAAGCGUUGGAGUCUGUGGCACUAAAUGACAUCCGAAGAUGGAAGAAGCAUCGCAUGUACCUAGCUAGCUAGUACACGCGGUCGGCCGAGAAUGGGAAGGUCAGGAAGCGUUUGACCUUCGAUCGAUUGGUGAUGUUUGAGCUGUUUAUUAAAAACUAUUAUACAAAGUCCAAUUGAAUAAAUUGAGAGAAAAUUAUUCAAUCAACUAAUGAAGCCAAUUUAAUUUCAAACAACGUCCAAUUUGGCAAUGAAAUUAAAUUUAUUUUCAUCGCCAGCUACUCAUUGACUCGGAAUGACAAUCGAUCAUAACUUUCAUGCAGUUAAUUGUUCGCCGAAUACACAUGGUAAGUACCCCUUUCUGAAAUGGUGCAAUAAAAAAUAAUAAUAUCGAAACAAGUGACCCCUGCUUCGAUGACAAUUAUCCGACCAAUUAUGAAUGCGAUGAAAAAAGGCUGUGUUAUUUUUUUUAGGAUACCACUGUUUAACAAUAUCGAACUCAAAAAAGCCAUAUGGCGUAUACAACAACAACAGUCCGCGCAAUAAAUAAAAUGCCAUCGAGCCGGAGAGGUUGAUUCCGGGAGGAAACCGAUCAAACCGCAUGCGGAUAUAAAUUUGCUUAAUUCGACUUAAUUUGUUUCAAUUAACUGCCAUUCGGUUCCUGAAAAUUGAAACGAGUUUCGCCGCCGUCUAUGAUUAUUUGCCGUUGCUGCAGUGCAGUUUGUAUCACAGUGGGAAAUCAAUUGGUUCUAUGCUCGCUCGUCAGCGCCUACUUUGUUUUCCAUGUGUCAUUUUGUUUGCAGAAAUCGAGACGAUCCAAGUAACAGACUAAAAUGCGGUGUUGUAUCAUCGCUUGGCGCCAUAAGUAACCAUCAAUCGAGAUAACUGAUAAAACAUUUCUUUUUCGCGUCAGAUCAGCCGGAAGUGCAAGGCCAGUGCAAAUGUUUCCCAUGGAAUGCAAUCCAACAGACGACUGAUUCUCUUGGGCCUAAUACGACCACGACAACGAUGAGAACUCUUACUAGCUUGCUUGGACCCUUGUAAGGCUAUGUGUUCACUUGAUGUGCACUGCUCUACGAAUCGACUGAUGCAUGUUCAGCAGCGAACACCGAAGCCUGCAAUGAAAUAUGAGCGUUGCUUAGUUUAAUUGGAUAAUCGAUAUAUAAUUGAUUAAUUUAAUUCAACACCCUUUCGCUUUUAAGGGAUAUCAGAUCGAGGCAGUAGUGUUGUUGUGUCUGAUUCAACGAAUU